rnacentral:rRNA from 1 species
AUUGAACGCUGGCGGCAGGCCUAACACAUGCAAGUCGAGCGGAUGAAGGGAGCUUGCUCCUGGAUUCAGCGGCGGACGGGUGAGUAAUGCCUAGGAAUCUGCCUGGUAGUGGGGGAUAACGUCCGGAAACGGGCGCUAAUACCGCAUACGUCCUGAGGGAGAAAGUGGGGGAUCUUCGGACCUCACGCUAUCAGAUGAGCCUAGGUCGGAUUAGCUAGUUGGUGGGGUAAAGGCGUACCAAGGCGACGAUCCGUAACUGGUCUGAGAGGAUGAUCAGUCACACUGGAACUGAGACACGGUCCAGACUCCUACGGGAGGCAGCAGUGGGGAAUAUUGGACAAUGGGCGAAAGCCUGAUCCAGCCAUGCCGCGUGUGUGAAGAAGGUCUUCGGAUUGUAAAGCACUUUAAGUUGGGAGGAAGGGCAGUAAGUUAAUACCUUGCUGUUUUGACGUUACCAACAGAAUAAGCACCGGCUAACUUCGUG